CACAGGACCUUUUGGCUGGCUGUAGACGACGCAGAGGGCAUUUAACACAGCCUCGAAGAUGAAUGCCGGACUUUGUGUAGAUCCUGAGCGGUUUAUUCGGUGAUGUGUGAACUAAAGUUGAAGAUAUAAGUUUGUCCUCACUGCUUCUGGUGGAGACAAGAACAAUAACUUUAGUGUUAUGAAAUAAGUUUCUGUCACGUUGUGUUUUCCUUCACUUUUCCUAGUCAGCCUUUGUUUUUAUUUUUGUAUUUUUUGCUACAUAUUUCGAGAGGAUGAAGACAGACCUGAGAAAGAAAACUGAUGCUACACACACGCUGUUUAGCGACUGCAGCUCUUUCCACUGAAGAUGGACACAGGAGAGGAGAGGUGGCCGAGACCAGGCGGCUGAGCUGGCGCUGAGCUCAGGAAGAAUGCAUUUGUCUCCGGUCGGCACAAACAGACGUUGCUUCCUGGCCUCUUCGGCCCUCUGUGCCAUCGUGCUGCUGCUGAUCCCGACUCUCCAAACGCCCCAGCGGCAGGGCAAGCUGCCUCGACCUCUGCCCCAUACCAGGCCUACAGGGGGAGAAAACGCCACGGACAACAAAGCUGCUAGUAACUCUAAGCACAGCAGUGUCACUAGUGACAAAUCCCAAAGAGACUCAGGAGGUGCCGAUUUCCUCAGUUCACGAGCCAAGGAGCCUCUAAGACUAAAAGACAUUUUUAUUGCAGUCAAAACCACCAGGAAGUAUCACAGAUCACGUCUGGAGCUGCUUUUUCAGACCUGGGUGUCAGAAGCCAAAGAGCAGACAUUCAUCUUCACUGACGGUGAGGAUAAAGACCUGAAGCAGAAAGCCGGAGGCAGCGUGAUCAACACCAACUGCUCAGCCGCUCACACACGCCAGGCGCUGUGCUGCAAGAUGUCUGUGGAGUACGACAAGUUCAUCGAGUCACAGAAAAAGUGGUUCUGUCACGUGGAUGACGAUAAUUACGUCGUCCUGCGGAGUCUGCUGCAGCUGCUCUCCUCCUAUUCCCACACGCAGGAUGUGUACCUGGGCCGGCCCAGCCUCGAUCACCCUAUAGAGGCUCCUGAGAGGGUCAGGAGUGAUGGAUCGACGUCUGUCAAGUUCUGGUUUGCUACAGGAGGUGCUGGCUUCUGUAUCAGUCGAGGCCUGGCACUCAAGAUGAGUCCAUGGGCAAGUCUAGGGAACUUCAUCACUACAGCGGAGAAGAUCCGUCUCCCAGACGACUGUACGAUCGGUUACAUCAUCGAAGCGCUGCUGGAGGUUCCUCUGACGCACACCAACCUGUUCCACUCACAUCUGGAGAACCUGCAGAGGAUGCCUGCUGAGAACGUCCUCCAACAGGUCUCCCUCACGCUUUCUCACUCGGGUCACCCUCAGCUACGGCGGUUUUGAGAACAGGAGGAACGUGGUACCUAUUGCCGGAGCGUUCUCCUUGACCGAAGACCCUUCACGGUUUAAAACCGUUCACUGCCUACUUUAUCCUGAGACUGAAUGGUGUCACCGCAGUAGACAUCACUGACCUCAACACGUUGUUCUGGAGACAAGGAAAAUAUCUGGGGUCUUGUGUGAAGGAUACUUUCAUGCAUUAAUAUCGCUGACUAGCAGGCUGAUUACCCCGUCAAGUUAAAACUGCUGCAUUUUGUUCAGAUUUCAUUGAAAAAUCUGAUUUAUUUUUAAACAGCAAAAGAUUACACGUUAGCAUUAUUAUUAUUUUCCCUCAAGCUUAUUUCAGACCAUUUUGGGUUUUGUGGAUCAUCUGUUACUCUUUUUUUUUUUUCCCCCAAGUAUGCAUCAGCUCAAGGCUUUAAAUUGCUGAACUGAGCCAUUCUUGUAAGCAUGCCAUGCAGGAGGAAAUAUCGGUUUCAUCUCUUUGGGAGUCAGGUUUCACCUCCAGACAGACUCCAAAACAAAAAUAGAAGUCAUGAGGACACAUCUAAAUAGGGUUUCACGGUACUACGGCUGCGGUUUAGGCUUGACCUCAGUUCACGGGCUCAUGGAAGCCUGGAGAUGAAAGCUGAAGGAUAUCUAAAGUAGAUUUUAAUGUGAUGAUAACACAGGAAGGAAUUGAGUCAUCUCUGAUGCAUAUCGUGGACUAAAGUAAAAGAAAUUCUCUACUGGGCUUUAUAAUUCUUUCACUAAAUGAUGUCUUAACAUUAACAUAUUUCUGCCAAAAUAUUUUUUUUUACAUGCCUUUUCACUGCUGGUCAGUGAUUUCAUGUGAGCUUGCCAAAAAAACAGACUGAGGUAUUACUUUCUUCGUUAGCGAUGACGAAUAUGUUGUUAUUGCCGUGCGAACAGAAGAGGAUUAAGCAAUGCCAAGCUGCUGCCAAAUACUGUUGCUGAUUGCUUCUUAUCCUGUCCUCCUAUUCUCAUGUAAAUAAACCAUGUUGAGCUUUUUAA